AUAACUCACUAGUAGCAGCCAAGUGUUCUUAAUGAUGUCUCUUUUUGAUCCUUGUGUGUUUGCUCUGCCUACCAUUGUGAAGCUGAAUUCACCAAGUCUUGGAUCGUUCACUCACUAAUAAAGAAUGUCAGUUGAGAUCAGACCAUUGUGAGGGUU
rnacentral:ncRNA from 1 species